CACGUAGGGUACGAGCGUUGUCCGGAAUUAUUGGGCGUAAAGAGCUCGUAGGCGGUGUGUCGCGUCGGCCGUGCAAACCUGCAGCUUAACUGUGGGCUUGCGGUCGAUACGGGCAUCACUGGAGUUCGGCAGGGGAGACUGGAAUUCCUGGUGUAGCGGUGAAAUGCGCAGAUAUCAGGAGGAACACCGGUGGCGAAGGCGGGUCUCUGGGCCGAUACUGACGCUGAGGAGCGAAAGCGUGGGGAGCGAACAGG
rnacentral:rRNA from 1 species